rnacentral:rRNA from 1 species
GAGGGAUAGGGUCGGUUCGGCCGGGUUUCACACAGGUGUUGCAUGGCUGUCGUCAGCUCGUGUCGUGAGAUGUUGGGUUAAGUCCCGCAACGAGCGCAACCCUCAUCCUUAGUUACCAUCAGGUAAUGCUGGGGACUUUAAGGAAACUGCCAGUGAUAAACUGGAGGAAGGUGGGGAUGAUGUCAAGUCAUCAUGGCCCUUAUGGAGUGGGCUACACACGUGCUACAAUGGUGGCUACAAUGGGCUGCAAAGUCGCGAGGCUAAGCUAAUCCCUUAAAAGCCAUCUCAGUUCGGAUUGUACUCUGCAACUCGAGUGCAUGAAGUUGGAAUCGCUAGUAAUCGUGGAUCAGCACGCCACGGUGAAUACGUUCUCGGGUCUUGUACACACUGCCCGUCACGCCAUGGGAAUUGGUU